rnacentral:rRNA from 1 species
UGGGGAAUCUUGCGCAAUGGGCGAAAGCCUGACGCAGCGAUGCCGCGUGCGGGAUGAAGGCCUUCGGGUUGUAAACCGCUUUCAGCAGGGACGCGGUACCUGCAGAAGAAGCCCCGGCCAACUACGUGCCAGCAGCCGCGGUAAUACGUAGGGGGCGAGCGUUGUCCGGAUUUAUUGGGUGUAAAGAGCUCGUAGGCGGUUCGGAAGUCGGAUGUGAAAUCUCCACGCUCAACGUGGAGGGGCCAUUCGAUACUGCGUGACUCGAGUCCGGUAGAGGAGUGUGGAAUUCCCGGUGUAGCGGUGAAAUGCGCAGAGAUCGGGAGGAACACCCGUAGCGAAGGCGGCACUCUGGGCCGGUACUGACGCUGAGGAGCGAAAGCUGGGGAGCAAACAGGAUUAGAUACCCGAGUAGU